UACGGAGGAUCCGAGCGUUAUCCGGAUUUAUUGGGUUUAAAGGGUGCGCAGGCGGGAGAUUAAGUCGGCGGUGGAAUUUUGCAGCUCAACUGUAAAAGUGCCUUCGAAACUGGUUUCCUUGAGUGUAGAUGAAGUAGGCGGAAUUUGUGGUGUAGCGGUGAAAUGCAUAGAUAUCACGAGGAACUCCGAUUGCGCAGGCAGCUUACUAAACUACUACUGACGCUCAGGCACGAAGGCGUGGGGAUCAAACAGGAUUAGAUACCCGCGUA
rnacentral:rRNA from 1 species